rnacentral:rRNA from 1 species
AGCCAUGCAUGUCUAAGUAUAAAUAGAAUACAGUGAAACUGCGAAUGGCUCAUUAAAACAGUUAUAGUUUAUUUGAUAAUUGAAGUCUACAUGGAUAACCGUGGUAAUUCUAGAGCUAAUACAUGCAUUAAGACCCGACGCAAGAAGGGUUGUAUUUAUUAGAUAUUAAGCCAAUAUUCCGCAAGGUCUAUUGUGGUGAAUCAUAGUAACUGAUCGGAUCCCCGGAUUCGGGGAUAAAUCAUUCAAGUUUCUGCCCUAUCAGCUUUCGAUGGUAGUGUAUUGGACUACCAUGGCAGUAACGGGUAACGGAGAAUUAGGGUUCGGUUCCGGAGAGGGAGCCUGAGAAACGGCUACCACAUCUAAGGAAGGCAGCAGGCGCGUAAAUUACCCAAUGCAGACUCUGCGAGGUAGUGACAAUACAUAACAACCUGGGGUCUCACGACUUACGGGAUUGCAAUGAGAACAAUUUAAAAACCUUAACGAGGAACAAGUGGAGGGCAAGUCUGGUGCCAGCAGCCGCGGUAAUUCCAGCUCCACUAGCGUAUAUUAAAGUUGUUGCAGUUAAAAAGCUCGUAGUUGAACUUCUGAUUGUUGUUAGCGUCGGUAUUUAUAUCGCGCUAGUGGCAGUCAUCCGUCUGCAAACUUUUACAUCCUUAACUGGUUUGUCUAAGGGAGCAGGCAUUUUACUUUGAAAAAAUUAGAGUGUUUAAGGCAGGCGCAAGCCUGAAUACA